UACGUAGGGUGCAAGCGUUAAUCGGAAUUACUGGGCGUAAAGCGUGCGCAGGCGGUUUUGUAAGUCUGUCGUGAAAUCCCCGGGCUCAACCUGGGAAUUGCGAUGGAGACUGCAAGGCUAGAAUCUGGCAGAGGGGGGUAGAAUUCCACGUGUAGCAGUGAAAUGCGUAGAGAUGUGGAGGAACACCGAUGGCGAAGGCAGCCCCCUGGGUCAAGAUUGACGCUCAUGCAC
rnacentral:rRNA from 1 species